rnacentral:rRNA from 1 species
ACUGCUCAGUAACACGUGGACAACCUACCCUUAGGACAGGUAUAAACCCGGGAAACUGGGUAUAAUCCCUGAUAGUCCUCGACUGCUGGAAUGCAUCGAGGCCGAAAGCUCCGGCGCCUAAGGAUGGGUCUGCGGCCUAUCAGGUAGUAGUGGGUCUAAAGUACCUACUAGCCUACGACGGGUACGGGUUGUGAGAGCAAGAGCCCGGAGAUGGAUUCUGAGACACGAAUCCAGGCCCUACGGGGUGCAGCAGGCGCGAAAACUUUACAAUGCCGGCAACGGCGAUAAGGGGACCUCGAGUGCCAGGUUACAAAUCUGGCUGUCGUGAUGCCUAAAAAGCAUUGCAUAGCAAGGGCCGGGCAAGACCGGUGCCAGCCGCCGCGGUAACACCGGCGGCUCGAGUGGUAACCGCUAUUAUUGGGUCUAAAGGGUCUGUAGCCGGCCGGAUAAGUCUUUUGGGAAAUCCAGCUGCUCAACAGUUGGGCUUUCAGGAGAUACUGUUCGGCUCGAGGCCGGGAGAGGUGAGAGGUACUUCAGGGGUAGGGGUGAAAUCUUGUAAUCCUUGAAGGACCACCAGUGGUGAAGGCGUCUCACCAGAACGGACCUGACGGCAAGGGACGAAAGCUAGGGGCACGAACCGGAUUAGAUACCCGGGUAGUCCUAGCCGUAAACGAUACUCGCUAGGUGUCAGCCACGGUGCGACCGUGGUUGGUGCCGUAGGGAAGCCGUGAAGCGAGCCACCUGGGAAGUACGGCCGCAAGGCUGAAACUUAAAGGAAUUGGCGGGGGAG